AAAAAAAAAAAAAAAAAAAACAAAGAGAGAAAGACUAAUACAUGGAGUCCCUUGCCAAAGGAUGCAUAGGACAUAGAGACCACUCAUCUGGAGCUCAGAAGUCUCCCAACUCGGUUAUGAUGUUCUGAUCUGGCCACCCCGUCCCCAUCUCCUGGGACUGUUCACAUCUCAGGUAUACACAACCAAGUAGCAUACAUCAAUCUAGGUCCUUAUACUGCCCUAGUGCACAAGCCACGUCCCCACGUGUCAGGUGGGCAGAUAAGUAUAAAGGGUUAAUAAGGGCAGGGUGAAGAGCUAGCUACAUCAGUAAGGAGCUGGGGCACUGACUGGAAAGGAAUUAAUCCACCAAAAUUGCAAUUGAUGUUUUGUUUCUUCGUUAGGCACUAAAGAGUAUAGUAGUAAUAGGAAGAAAGACUUCCAAAAUCGUCAUAAUGGUAGCUAAAGUUAACGAGUGUUCUGUGCCAGGCUCUCUUCCAGGCACUUUACCUGCACUUUGCUUGCAUCAUCUCUUCAUUUACUCUUUGCAAGUUUGUGAAGUUACUAUUAUUGACCCACUUUACAGAUGAGAGACCUGAGGCAUUAAACUCAAGAGCAAUAAUUUGGCCAUGAGAGAACAAGUGAAAUUCAAGUAAAUCCCCUUGUAAACUCAGUAUGGUAAUACCUUUGCAGUAGGACUGCUGAGGCUGGAGGACAGGAUGUGUGGGGUAGUUUUGUUUCUAUCUUCUCAACAGUUAGGCUGGCAGAUGGUGUCAGAAGUGGGAUCUGAAGUAGAGGUUGUAACGAUCCCCAGGAGUGCUGAGUGAACAAGCAAGUUACCUGCAGAAUCCACUGUGUC
rnacentral:lncRNA from 1 species